CAUUAGCAUAUUUUUAAUUAACAUCCAAUCAACGAAUUUUCGUCGCGAAUUUUUGGGAAUUUUUUUUUUUCCCAGUCCCUGGUAAUGUUGCUCGGGUAAUUAUUCUAUGGAGCAAUAGUGUGCAUGCGGGUAUGUAAUCCGUGUAAGCCAAUGGGGCAAACAAGUAUUACGAGAGCCUAGAGAGGCUGGCACUCCCCGCUCCUCUCUUUCAUCUCGUCAAAAGAGGUUAUCGUGGAAUAAAAAAAAUGUCACUUACAUGCACACUUCCGCUAACAACACACUCAAAUACCCACGGCUAGGCACGCACACGUGUGAUGUAAUGUUGGUAGAGCGCUUGAGAGAAUUUAUGUCACGGGAAAAACCAGUGGAAAAUUCAUUAUUGAGAAAUGCUUAGUUUUUUUUUCUCAAGUGGAUUUUCUCGAGGGCCUCGCAGAUGAUGGAUUCUUACGGAGCGAUUAAAGCGGGGGUGGAAAUAUAGAAGAGAGUUCUCAGGGACAUACGUAAGGGGCAUUUGGGGAUCAGAUUGGGUAUUAUGCGGUGUAUUGAUCGGUUUGGGGUGGCCUCAUGACGAAUAGUCAGUCGUGCUGCGGUGGAUUUGACCAAUUCAAAUCUUCGAGGCCUUUAUUUUUUGGGGAAUAUUUGGAAGUGUUGCGGAAAUGACAUACAAAAAGUAAAUGAUAAGUUGCUAAGCGAUGUGAAUCCGCGCUGUCUGAUUGAGUAUGCCUGCAACUACUGGAUGAACGUGCAGAGGCAUUAGGCACAGUGGAGCAAAGGGGAAGAGGGGCAAAGAGAGGAAAAUAGAUGUCAGAGAUGUCGUAACACGAGCUACUCACUCAUCCCGAUAUUGCGUCCUUAAUUCCCUGAAAACACGGAAACGAUCGAGAUGAAUGCGAUACGACAAUGCCUCACGCAAGGGGCAUUGCCGAUUGUUUCGCUCAAAAUCCAACUGAAAUUCCAUUUUUUUCGCAUUCGACUGAUAGCAUUUGAUAUGAAUACUUAGUAAAAAUUCAUUCGGGGUCGUUGUGGAGAGGAGAGGGGUAAACUGGACGGGCGCAUUCUCGAUUCGAGUACGCCCGGUUGUUAUCACCAAACACUCGAGAGAUAACGGUACUCCACGUGUUUCAGAGACCAGACGCAUGAAUUUGGAUUGUAUCGAUUCUCUACUCCUCCCCGUGGCUCUUCAUGUCCCACGAGCUAUUCACUGGGAAUAUUUGCGUUAUCUGGUAACACUUAACAAAUCUUAUGAAUCGUACUUUUGCAGGGAUCAUUACUGUUGGAUUGUUGGAGUGGAUUUUUGGAAUUUUGCAGGAGUUACAAUGAUUAUUAAGUGUAUAGAUGAAUUUUAUCACACGUGUGAUGAUGAUUUACUCAGAUGUAUAUAGAGUUUUCGAGUAUAUACUCGAAUUCGCAGCAACCAUAAAUAACUAACAUAAAUAAACAA